GAAAAAAUAAUUCACUAAGAGAAAAGAUUACAAGGUGAUUACCAACUCCACGGACUCAACCUCUCUCAACCUCCUAUGAAUCUUCGCGCUACCCUCCGGGUUGUCCACGCCCUCACGUUCGAAUCCACGAACGCCUUCACUUCGAAUCCACGAAGCUUCAAUCACGCCGAAUCCACGACGCCACUCGAAUCCAUGAGCCAACGAUCCGAAUCCACGAACCGCCUUUGUUCACGCCGAAUCUACGAUGCCGUUCAUGAAGAGCAUCAUGAUUAUGGUGAUCCUUC
rnacentral:lncRNA from 1 species